rnacentral:rRNA from 1 species
CCUACGGGAGGCAGCAGUGGGGAAUAUUGCACAAUGGGCGCAAGCCUGAUGCAGCCAUGCCGCGUGUGUGAAGAAGGCCUUCGGGUUGUAAAGCACUUUCAGCGGGGAGGAAGGCGGUAAGGUUAAUAACCUUGCCGAUUGACGUUACCCGCAGAAGAAGCACCGGCUAACUCCGUGCCAGCAGCCGCGGUAAUACGGAGGGUGCAAGCGUUAAUCGGAAUUACUGGGCGUAAAGCGCGCGCAGGCGGUCUGUCAAGUCGGAUGUGAAAUCCCCGGGCUCAACCUGGGAACUGCAUUCGAAACUGGCAGGCUAGAGUCUUGUAGAGGGGGGUAGAAUUCCAGGUGUAGCGGUGAAAUGCGUAGAGAUCUGGAGGAAUACCGGUGGCGAAGGCGGCCCCCUGAACAAAGACUGACGCUCAGGUGCGAAAGCGUGGGGAGCAAACAGGAUUAGAUACCCUAGUAGUC